UCGACAGCUGUUCGCCGCUGCUUGGGACACACGUCUCAAUUCUGAUCACAGAUGUAUUAAAAAUGAAGUGGUUUCAGAGUGGAACGCCAGCACGGUGGAUGUGGCUAAUAUCUGACCAUGGUGAAGUCGUGUGCUGCCAUCUCCUGCACCAGUCGAUUUGUGCGUGGCUGUAAUAUUUCCUUUCAUAAGUUUCCCAAGCAGUCCAAGGACAGCACACUGAGAGAUCAAUGGAUACAGGCCAUCAGUAGAGAAGCGGUGGGGACCAAAAGGAGAUGGAUCAUAAUUGUGUAUGCAGCAACCAUUUCAGGGAGGAGGACUUCAUCCUCUCAAAACAUGUGCAACACAAGCUUCUCAGGCCAGGGGCUGUACAAUCCCUCAAUUUGGGGAAACCAGAG